rnacentral:rRNA from 1 species
GCCAAGAUUAAUAACUCAAGGUGUUACCUGCCCAGUGGUUUUAAAGUUUAAGUUUAUAGUACUUAAAAUAAGAUUAAACGGCCGCGAUAUACUGAUUGUGAUAAUGUAGCAUAAUAAUUUGUCAUUUAAUUGGUGAAUAGUAUGAAUGGUUAUACGAAUAUUUAACUGUCUUAAAAAGAAAAAAUAUGAAAUUGGAAUAAUAGUAAAGAUACUAUUUAAAAUUGUAAGACGAAAAGACCCUAUAAAGCUUAACUAUAAACUUUUUAAUUUAUUAAAAAGAAAGGUAGUUUAGUUGGGGCGACUGCCUUUUAAUAAAAACAAAGGUAAACAAAUAUCAUCAGAUUUAGAUUUAUUGUAUAAUAAAUAAAUUUAACAAUUAUUAAAGUAGGUUGUAAUGACCCGUUAUCAAAUAAAAAAGUUUUUAACGAUUAAUAAAUAAAAGCUACUUUAGGGAUAACAGAAUAAUUUUAACUAAGAGAUCUUAUUUAAGUUAAAGUUUGUCACCUCUAUGUUGAAUUAAGAUAUCCAAUAGAUGUAGAAGUUUAAAAGGGUAGGUCUGUUCGACCUUUAAAAUCUU